rnacentral:lncRNA from 1 species
GGCGAGUUUCUCUGGAAUCAGCUUUCUCAUUUCCCUCUCCCUCCUCUCAAGACAAACAUUUUCUCCCAGCUUGAACGUUCCCCCCGGGCGCGCGGGCCUCCUGCCGCCUGGAGCCGAGCUGGCACUGGAGCGCUUCUCCUCUGGAGCGCAGAGGCACCCGACGCCCUGCGGCAGCUCGCAGCCUUUCCCCCACGACCUUCUAGAACAGCCCUGCUCUGCCUCCCUCCGGUCUCCCGAGUGCGCCCGUCAUCCUGCCUCGCGAGAGGUGAACGCGGAGAAAACGGCUGGAGCCUCCCGACUCCAAGGCGGGCGACGGCAAAGUUAAACGCCAGCGCGCUGCGGUCCCCGGGCACCGAGGCGUCCCCGCUCCCGCCACCCACACAGGGCGCCAAGUGCCCCGACCCGCGAGUGACGAGGACGCACAGCCUGGAAGCCUCGCGGCCCUCCAGAUGGACUCGGAGCGCCCCUGGAGGCUACAGUGACCUAAGCUCUAGGAAGGCCGGGUCCUGGACGCCGCGUGCUGCUGUCCGCCGCCGACCGGUGUCCUCGCAGAGAUAACCUGGCUGAACUCACCGCCCAGCGCUAUGUCAGUUCUCCCUCAUGACAACCCAAAACUUGACCGGAUUUGUGUUCUGCAGAGAGGAAAAAAAAAAGCGGCCACCGAACACCAGUGCAGUAGCCAGGAUGGGCCUGUGGCUCUGGCUGCAGCCUCCAGGGACACCAGCUGGAGAGAAGGAAGCCACGCAUGGAGAGCGGCCAGGAGAAAAUCAAGGCUCCAAGAAGGC